rnacentral:rRNA from 1 species
UACGGAGGGUGCAAGCGUUAUCCGGAUUCACUGGGUUUAAAGGGUGCGUAGGCGGGGAGGUAAGUCAGUGGUGAAAUCCCCGAGCUCAACUUGGGAACUGCCGUUGAUACUAUCUAUCUUGAAUGUUGUGGAGGUGAGCGGAAUAUGUCAUGUAGCGGUGAAAUGCUUAGAUAUGACAUAGAACACCAAUUGCGAAGGCAGCUCGCUACACAAUUAUUGACGCUGAUGCACGAAAGCGUGGGGAUCAAACAGG